UACGUAGGGGGCUAGCGUUGUCCGGAUUUAUUGGGCGUAAAGAGCGUGUAGGUGGCCAGGUAGGUCUGCUGUGAAAACUCGAGGCUCAACCUCGAGCCUGCAUUCGAUACUGGGCGGCUAGAGUCUGGUAGGGGGAUCUGGAAUUCCUGGUGUAGCGGUGGAAUGCGCAGAUAUCAGGAGGAACACCGGUGGCGAAGGCGGGAUCCUGGGCCAGUACUGACGCUGAGGAGCGAAAGCGUGGGGAGCAAACAGG
rnacentral:rRNA from 1 species